UACGGAGGGUGCAAGCGUUAUCCGGAUUCACUGGGUUUAAAGGGCGCGUAGGCGGUCAGCACAAGUCAGUUGUGAAAUCUCCGGGCUUAACUCGGAAAGGUCAACUGAUACUGUGCGACUAGAGUGCGGAAGGGGCAACUGGAAUUCUCGGUGUAGCGGUGAAAUGCGUAGAUAUCGAGAGGAACACCAAUGGCGAAGGCAGCUCGCUGGGACGGUACUGACGCUGAGACGCGAAAGCGUGGGGAGCAAACAGG
rnacentral:rRNA from 1 species